GGGGGGGGGGGGGGGGGUGGUGGGGAGGUGGAGGGGGGACGGGAGGGGCUGGUUUGCGGUGUGGGUUGCGGGUACUGGGGUGUGGAACGGGUGAGGCACACGUGGGGGAUCUGCGCCCAACUUGGGUAUAAGCGUGGGAAACUGGGUCUAAUUCCCGAUAGGACUGCCGGGUGGUUCCUGUGGGUGACAACGAUUUUAUCGCGGUUGGGGAUGGGCUAGCGGCCUCUCAGAUUGUUGGAGGUGUAAUGGCCUACCAACGCGGCGACGGGUACCCGGACUGAGAGGGUGGACGGCAACAUUGGGAAUGAGCUACGGCCCAGACUCCUACGGGAGGCAGCAGUGGGGAAUAUUGCACAAUGGGCGGAAGCCUGAUGCAGCGACGCCGCGUGGGGGAUGACGGCCUUCGGGUUGUAAACUCCUUUCGACCGCGAGGAAGCCACCUGGUUGGAAGGGUGGUGACGGUAGUGGUAGAAGAAGCACCGGCUAACUACGUG
rnacentral:rRNA from 1 species